ensembl:lncRNA
GAUCCCACAUGGUUGGUGAACUUUUAAGAUGAGGAGAGAGACAAAGAGGAGAGGACCAGGUGAAGAUAGAUACAUGGGAGAAGAUGGCACGUGAAGACGGAGGCAGAGAUUGGAGCCGUGUGUCUACCAGUCAAGGAAGGCCAAGGUUACCAGCCGUGUCCAGAAGCUAGUUGAGAGGCAUGGACAGGUUUUUCCAGAAUCUGCAGAAAGAAUCCACAUUACAACACCCUGAUUUCAGACUUCUGGCCUCCAGAACUGUGAGACAGUGCCUACAUUUCUGUGAAUUUAAGCCACCCAGUUUGUGGUCCUUUACUAGAGCAGCCCUGGGAAAUCCCUGGUGGCUCAGUGGUAAAGAAUUCGCCUGCCAAUGCAGGAGACAUGGGUUUGAUCCCUGGGUGGGGAAGAUCCCCUGGAGAAGGAAAUGGCUUAUCUACUCCAGUAUUCUUGCCUGCAAAAUCCCAUGGACAGAGAAGCCUGGCGAGCUACAGUCCAUGGGGUCUCAUAGGACAUGACUGAGUGACUAAACAACAGCAGAGGAAAUGAAUAUCCCACGCCACACAGCUGUUGAGGUAGAGCCAGGCUGGGUCUGCCUCCAAGCUCACUCUCUUACUGUCACCUUGAGAGUGGGAGAAAUGUCCAGCAGAGGGGACAAAGCUCCUCGGAGGACAGGGAGGAGCAAUCACCUCUGCCUGUAGGUGGGAGCUUCUCAGAGGAGGGAAAUUUUGAAUGGGAUCUCACAGUUAAGGAGGCGUUCCCCAGGGCCAGAAGGCUGGGGUGGAGGGGUGUACUGGGGAGAAGGAUCAGCUGAUGAGAGGUGAGAAGUGUGUUGCUGGUGGAGAUGGUGACAGUUUUUGCCCUAAAGAGGAAGGAUUCCUGUAAAGUGAGGACUCUGAAGCUGAAGCUCCAGUACUUUGAUGUGAAGAGCCGACUCACUGGAAAAGACUCUGAAGCUGGGAAAGAUUGAAGGCAGGAAGAGAAGGGGAUGACAGAGGAUGAGAUGGUUGGAUGGCAUCACCGACUCAAUGGACAUGAGUCUGAGCAAACUCCGGGAGUUGGUGAAGGACAGGAAAGCCUGGCAUGCUGCAGUCCAUGGGGUUGCAAAGAGUGACUGAGUGACCGAACAACAAGAGUUCCCACUUCUUUCCUCCCCACUGCCCCACGUCCUUCAUAAGUGGAGGCCAAAGUCCCUUCCCAGCGCCUGUUCCAGGCCCAUGGGCCUUCCUUCCCAGAUUCACUCUUCUGCUCUUGGAGCCUCUGUCCUUACCAUCCCCAUGGUUGAUCCCUCUGGUCCCCAGUGGACCAGGUCUCCACCCUGAACACCACCUCCUCAGAGAAGCCUCCGAGGUAUCAUCCUCUGCCUCCUGGAGCUUCCCCGCCAAGCUCAGUUUUUUUCAAACAUCUCAUUAUCAUUUGUAUUCUCUGUGUUUUCUACCUCCACGCCCCCAAUUUAGAUUUAAACUCUGUGUGAGCAGAGACCCCCACCUGGCCUGUCCCCAGAAUAGAGGGCUGGGUCUCAGACUAAGGAAUGGUUUCUACAAAGAAUUGUCAAGUGAAUGAAGGAAGAACUUUCUAGCAGUGAAAGCAAUUUAAAAGGUCAAAUGGGUGGUCCCAGGAGGGCCUAUCUGUCUGAAGGGAUUCAACAGAGGUACUACAGAGAACAGGACUGUCCAGGAGAUCAGAGAAUUCUAUUUUCCGUGGGAUGAGAAGACUUCAGAGUCCUGCCCAUGUCUUCUAAUCUUCGGCUCCCAAAUCCUGGGUUCUUCCUCGGGCACCCUGACGGUGAAGAAAGCCAGGUGCUCCCAUCCCACCUGCCUCCCUUGAGGCUCUAGGAUUUUACUGCCCAAGAAAGAGAUGCAAUCAGUGUCACGAAUACCUGUCUGCCUACAGAGAAGCAAAAAUUCAGCUUGUGUGUCUGAGACCUGAGACAGAGCUGAAGGCAUGGGGUCACCACUGCCCAGCCAGCCAUGCAUCUGGCUCCCAGGCUGGAUCUGGUGAGAGGAGACUCAUGAGGCUUCUCCAGGCAACAACUGAACAAAGACAUCCACCCCUCAUUCCACUCGAACUGUUUUCACCUGGUGAGGAGCUGCAGAUAGGCUUCAGAACACUGGGACAGGUGUUAAUAAAAUAGUCACCCGUCCCCUGCGAACUGAAGAAAAAGAAACAAUGAAUUUUCCGGUUUACUAGAUUUAUCCGUUUGAAAGCACUGUCCUUUUAUUCUGAGAUUAUUUCUGAAAUGAAGAAGAGAAACGCAGUGAAUUUUUCCAUCCUGCUGCUGCUGCUGCUGCUAAGUCACGUCAGUCGUGUCUGACUCUGUGUGACCCCAUAGACGGUACCCAACAGGCUCCUCUGUCCCUGGGAUUCUCCAGGCAAGUUCCAUCC